rnacentral:lncRNA from 1 species
AUUUAUUGUGUCAACUUUAUUUAAUUCUAUUGGACCGGGUCAGACCAGUGGAUCGACCCAUUAGAUAUUUUAAUAUCUGUUACUUUGACUUGUGAUGAUGAAAAAGCAUGACAGUUGACCAAUCCUCCUGCCAUGCAUUAAUGUGGAUGGGAUCAUAACCGGCCGGCGGGAGAAAACAGUGGCCAAAAGCAGUAGAUAAACCUGAUAUAGUCGGCAGGGUCCAUCAGAUCAGAGGGGGUGUCAGGUAGUGGUGGGUGGCACAAUAAUCCAAGCAAAAGUAAUAUAACUUAGCAAGGAAGCCAUCGUAUGGAGGUACGUUCUCUCAUAUAUUGAUUAUUCAUAUUCUCCCAUACACACGACUGGGAUUUUUUCUCUCUCAAUACACUAGACCAUAUAUUCCUCCAUUGUUAACCUUGUGAACACGUACUAAUUCUCACGCCUGAGCUAUCCCCCGACGGAAUCGCCGUCAAGUUUUCGGUGUUGACUGUGUUUACUGUGCAGGAUCAGGACGUCUUACGUGAUUGGGACGUGGAGAAAGAUCUUGGCGUUAACAUAAA